rnacentral:lncRNA from 1 species
CCUUGAUUUACAUUAGCUUAACUUUGAUUUUCUCGACUUACACAACGUAUUUUUUGAAAAUUACUUCGCCAAUGAACUUACUAGAUCGAUCGUUUUUGAAGCAAUUUAAAACAUUCGCAGUGCGUGUUUUAUCAGACCUAAAGAUACUCGGCUUCGCCUCGUAUCUUUAUAUCUGAGAAAACACUGCUGCUCAUGUUUUAAAUAGUACUU